UACGUAGGGUGUGAGCGUUAAUCGGAAUUACUGGGCGUAAAGCGUGCGCAGGCGGUUCGUUGUGUCGGCGGUGAAAGCCCCGGGCUUAACCUGGGAAUGGCCGUUGAAACUGGCGAACUGGAGUGUGGCAGAGGGGGGUGGAAUUCCGCGUGUAGCAGUGAAAUGCGUAGAGAUGCGGAGGAACACCGAUGGCGAAGGCAGGUCUCUGGGCUGACACUGACGCUCAUGCACGAAAGCGUGGGGAGCAAACAGG
rnacentral:rRNA from 1 species